rnacentral:rRNA from 1 species
GACGAACGCUGGCGGCGUGCUUAACACAUGCAAGUCGAACGGAAAGGCCCUGCUUUUGUUGGGUGCUCGAGUGGCGAACGGGUGAGUAACACGUGAGUCACCUGCCCUUGACUAUGGGAUAACUUCAGGAAACUGGGGCUAAUACCGGAUAGGAGCUCCUGCUGCAUGGUGGGGGUUGGAAAGUUUCGGCGGUUGGGGAUGGACUCGCGGCUUAUCAGCUUGUUGGUGGGGUAGUGGCUUACCAAGGCUUUGACGGGUAGCCGGGCUGAGAGGGUGACCGGCCACAGUGGGACGGAGAUACGGCCCAGACUCCUACGGGAGGCAGCAGUGGGGAAUAUUGCACAAUGGGCGGAAGCCUGAUGCAGCAACGCCGCGUGCGGGAUGACGGCCUUCGGGUUGUAAACCGCUUACGCCUGUGACGAAGCGUGAGUGACGGUAAUGGGUAAAGAAGCACCGGCUAACUACGUG